rnacentral:rRNA from 1 species
AUUGAACGCUGGCGGCAGGCCUAACACAUGCAAGUCGAACGGUAACAGAAAGCAGCUUGCUGCUUUGCUGACGAGUGGCGGACGGGUGAGUAAUGUCUGGGAAACUGCCUGAUGGAGGGGGAUAACUACUGGAAACGGUAGCUAAUACCGCAUAACGUCGCAAGACCAAAGAGGGGGACCUUCAGGCCUCUUGCCAUCGGAUGUGCCCAGAUGGGAUUAGCUUGUUGGUGGGGUAACGGCUCACCAAGGCGACGAUCCCUAGCUGGUCUGAGAGGAUGACCAGCCACACUGGAACUGAGACACGGUCCAA